CAGUAGCCACGGUAAUACAGAGGGUGCGAGCGUUAAUCGGAUUUACUGGGCGUAAAGCGUGCGUAGGCGGCUUCUUAAGUCGGAUGUGAAAUCCCUGAGCUUAACUUAGGAAUUGCAUUCGAUACUGGGAAGCUAGAGUAUGGGAGAGGAUGGUAGAAUUCCAGGUGUAGCGGUGAAAUGCGUAGAGAUCUGGAGGAAUACCGAUGGCGAAGGCAGCCAUCUGGCCUAAUACUGACGCUGAGGUACGAAAGCAUUGGGAGCAAACAGGAUUAGAUACCCCAGUAGUCCCUGUCUCUUAUAC
rnacentral:rRNA from 1 species